GAGACACCCUUCUGGGGCAAGACUUGCUUCAGUGGGGCUUUGGUGCUCAUGGAGUCUGCCCCCUGAGUGUGUCCCU
rnacentral:pre_miRNA from 1 species